AGUGAAGGAGCCCAAUGCUAUGAGGGUUAUCUCACAGCCACACAUGCUGGACAAGCUGAGAGAAGCAGAAGCACUUUUGGAUGACAUUCAGAAAGGCCUCAACGAAUACUUGGAAAAGAAGAGAUUGUUCUUUCCUCGGUAACCGAGAACAACAAUUGUC
rnacentral:lncRNA from 1 species